UACGUAGGGGGCGAGCGUUAUCCGGAUUCAUUGGGCGUAAAGGGCGCGUAGGCGGCCCGCAGCAGUGGCGCGUGGAAUCUCCCGGCUCACCCGGGAGGGGCCGUGCCAGACGGGCGGGCUGGAGGCGGGUAGAGGAUCGCGGAACGGGCGGAGUAGGGGUGAAAUCCGUAGAGACCGUCCGGAACACCGGUAGCGGCGGCGGCGAUCUGGGCCCGGCCUGACGCUGAGGCGCGAAAGCGUGGGGAGCGAACGGA
rnacentral:rRNA from 1 species